rnacentral:sRNA from 1 species
AGAAAAGUAGGUGCCGCCCCGCACAGGGGCGACGCUAAUAGACCAAUAACAAAUCAAGGAAAGGCCAACGCCGUAGGCAAACAGACAAUAAGCGCCCU